AUCAAAAGAAAAUCCAGCAGAGUCACGACAUACAAAUCAUGUCGAACAUGAUGAUCGAUCCAAAUCGAUUUCAACACAAAGAAAAAUAAAACAACAACACACACAAUCCAAAUUAAUUAUAUCAUUAUAAAGAGAUUAAUCCAAAAAAUUAAACUAAUCUAGCAGAAACGCAGAAUCGAAAUCAACUACACAAUAAAAACAACAGACACAACACAACAUAACAAAAUAUUUGAAAUUUGAAUCGUUAGCGACCAAGUCAAAUAUUGUGGCUGCUUUGAUGAUGCAGUUGUCGAAAGUGAACAAAAAUGGUGAUCAGAGUGAAGUUGUUAGUGAUUCGCGCGGUGGUGAAGAGCUUAAAACGGUUGAAUUUUGAAGGUGAGUUGAGAAGGUUGAACGGAAUGGUGGCUGGUGCGGUAGCUUUGGUGGUUCAACGACAACUACAUGGUGGGACGUGAAGGUUGUGUUUGUUUCGUGUGGUCGCGUGAAGAGGAAGGGAGUGAUGGUUCUGUUUGAAGGUGGUGGAGAAGAUGGAUGUUGGUUGAUGAAGUGAUGGUUUCGUGGUGGUGAGUUGAAGUGGUUUUGUUGCAAGGAGGGUGGUUUGUGUGGUGGCGGUUUACGACGGAAGUUUCCAGAGGUGGAGAGCGGGAAAAAAAUGAGGUUGAAGGAGAAAAAUUGCAGGUUAUGUUAUGAGGUGGGUGAAAAGGAGGAGGAAAAGUGUUUGAUUGGUCUGUUUGAUGGAAGGAAGGAGUAUGAUGAUAUUUGUGUUGUAAGUGUGUUUGAAAAAAUGAGAGAGAAAGUGGGGUUGCAGGGAAGUAGAAGUAGGUUAUAGGGAAGAAGAAGUAGAGGAUGAGAAGAUAUUUCUCCUUUGUUGCAAAAUGUGAGAAAUAAAUCUCCUUUUGUUCCUUUUU
rnacentral:lncRNA from 1 species